rnacentral:lncRNA from 1 species
UUUGUCGUACGCGUACAUCCGCUCCCGUUCCACUCAGGGUGCGUCGACAUACUGAUUCCCGAAAUCAGCUACUCGGUGGGGAAUAAGGGUAUUUCGUAAGAGUAUAUCGGAAGGCAAAGUGGCCCCGCGGUGCAGUUUUAUUCGUGUGUCUAAGCGUCGUAAGCGACAGGUCACCAGGCCUAAGCAUCGGGCUACAUCAAGGUCGAGAUCAGGAAUCUGGAAGGAUUUGUGAGGGGCCGGCCAUCUCAUUGACGGCGGAGGCAACAAUUAAGAUCAGGUGGUGAUUCAACAUUUCAACGGCACCAGGAACGGUACGCUCAUCGUCACCUACGUCGGUCUCCUGCAAAGUCUAGGAUAAGAGAGACUCGAGCGAUGGUCGUCUGUCCGCAAAAAACUCACACGCCAAUCAUCGGUGUGCGCAUCAAGAACAAGGAAGCAAGUCGUAUGCAUGGGACAAGACUGUCCGGAAGCAAGCAUCAGAUCAGAGCAACAUUUUGCUUGUUUUUCUUUAUGUUCCUGUAGCUAUAUCUCAUGUCUAUAACUGCACUUUUUCCUUAAUUCUACAUACUUCUUCCUAUUAAAUACUUGGAAGAAAAGGUAGAGCAAAUGUUUUUGCCAGAG